AAAAAAAAUAGAUGUCAUUUUUAAAUUAGACUAAGAUGUGUACCAUUACCAAGGCAUUAGCAAAAUAGAAAUUAACUCCUGUCUAUCUCAAGAAUCUAUUUCAGCACCAUCUUCCAGACAAGAAAAAAAUGAAAGCGGUCAUUAAACACAUGAAAGUAGCAGCGUGAUCGAGCUGGAAUCCAACGCACAAGCAGUGGGCAGCUGCAGGCUGACUGGGAAGGUAUCCCUCGCCAGCCUCCUAGGCCAGUCCCUGAGGAACACAGGACCCAUCACAACACGCUGCUUUACUUGAGAUAUAAGCAGAAAGCUGCAAGUACUACCAAGCACUUAUUGAAGUGAAAACAGUAUCUGCAGGCUAGGCUGCUAGGAAAAGGUUCCUGCCUCACGUAACAUCAGUUCGGAUGUUCUGGCAAGAAAGCAGAGAUUUUCACCAGUCACCUAGAGAGCUUCGGUUAACUUUAGGACCUCCCCUCGCCUACAGCUAGGAAACAGCUCUCCUCCUCCUCGGUUUUGCCUAGACAGCCAGGAGCUGGACCAGCCAAGGAUUUGUUUCGUGUCCAUCAUACCAGCGUAUGGCAAUGAACAAACUUAAGUGAUGACACAGAAGUCUUCAAGUAGAGUAGCUUGCAAAUACUAAAAGAAAACGUUGCCUUUUACACACAAAAAAAAACAACAUUUUCACCUUGGAGUCUGGGGAAAAAAAAAUAAGUCUUUUUGAGUGAAGAAUGUUUACCAACACAAUCUGUGGUGGUUUCACACUGACAGACAGCAAACCUCCACCAUGCCACUCUCUCACUCCCCCUCCUCAAAAGAGGAGGGGGAAAACAUAUGGGGAAAGAAGGCUUACAGAUUGAGAAGAGGAACGGUUUAAUUAAAGAAAAAAAAACAGGCAAAGGCCAUGCAGAACCAAAAGGCGAGAACAAUUACUCUCUACUUCCCAUCGAUGAGCGAUGUUCAGCCGCAUCCUGGGAAGUAGGAUAAGUGUAGUGGUUGUUUGGGAGGACAGACGUCCCCACGAGAGCCCCCCUUCCCCAGCUCUCACCGCAGAGCAUCAUGCCGUAGGGGUCGUUUCAUCCCUUCGGGCUGUUUGGGUCCCCUGACCGGCCCAGCCCCGGGGGCUUGCAGGGCACGUCUGUGCUGCUCCAGCUCCGCCCGCAGAGCACAGCACAGCAGGGGCUGCUGUGGGGAAGGUGAGCCCCAUCCCAGCCACAGCCACCACA